UGAGGAACAUGACCUUCGGCGGGGGAUAGCCGGCCCAACGGCCGGGUAAUACCGCGUACGACCACAUGGGGACAUCCCUGAGUGGUGAAAGCAGCAAUGCGCCGAUGGAGUGCCUCGCGGCCUAUCAGCUAGUUGGUGAGGUAACGGCUCACCAAGGCAACGAUGCGUAGCCGACCUGAGAGGGUNAUCGGCCACAUUGGAACUGAGACACGGUCCAGACCUNUACCGGGGAGG
rnacentral:rRNA from 1 species